AACGAACGCUGGCGGCAUGCCUAACACAUGCAAGUCGAACGAGACCUUCGGGUCUAGUGGCGCACGGGUGCGUAACGCGUGGGAACCUGCCCUUAGGUUCGGAAUAAUUCCCCGAAAGGGGUGCUAAUACCGGAUAAUGUCUUCGGACCAAAGAUUUAUCGCCUUUGGAUGGGCCCGCGUUGGAUUAGCUAGUUGGUAGGGUAAAAGCCUACCAAGGCGACGAUCCAUAGCUGGUCUGAGAGGAUGAUCAGCCACACUGGGACUGAGACACGGCCCAGACUCCUACGGGAGGCAGCAGUGGGGAAUAUUGGACAAUGGGCGAAAGCCUGAUCCAGCAAUGCCGCGUGAGUGAUGAAGGCCUUAGGGUUGUAAAGCUCUUUUACCCGGGAUGAUAAUGACAGUACCGGGAGAAUAAGCGCCGGCUAACUCCGUG
rnacentral:rRNA from 1 species